rnacentral:rRNA from 1 species
GGACUACGGGGGUAUCUAAUCCGGUUCGCUCCCCCAGCUUUCAUCCCUCACCGUCGGGCGCGUUCUAGCAGACAGCCUUCGCCACUGGUGGUCUUCCCGGGAUUAUAGGAUUUCACCCCUACCCCGGAAAUACCGUCUGCCUCUCUCGUCCCCUAGCCAAGCAGUAUCCCCCGCGAUCCAACGAUUAAUUCGUUGGAUUUAACAGGGGACUAACUUAGCCAGCUACGGAUGCUUUAGGCCCAAUAAACAUCCACACCACUCGGAGAGCUGGUAUUACCGCGGCGGCUGACACCAGACUUGCCCUCUCCUUAUUCCCCCAGCGUUCUAGACUGGGUAAAAGCCUUCCUCAGCGGAUGGCACUCGGGAUAGCCCUGUCACACUUUCGUGUAUUGCAAAGUUUUCGCGACUGCUGCACCCCAUAGG